rnacentral:rRNA from 1 species
AACUACCGCAAUAAGCGCGACGGUAUCGCAUGAUACAGUGUAGAAAACUCCGGUGGUAUAAGAUGGACCCGCGUCUGAUUAGCUAGUUGGUGAGGUAACGGCCCACCAAGGCGACGAUCAGUAGCCGGCCUGAGAGGGUGAACGGCCACAUUGGGACUGAGACACGGCCCAAACUCCUACGGGAGGCAGCAGUGGGGAAUAUUGCACGAUGGGGGAAACCCUGAUGCAGCGACGCCGCGUGAGUGAUGAAGUAUUUCGGUAUGUAAAACUCUAUCAGCAGGGAAGAUAAUGACGGUACCUGACUAAGAAGCACCGGCUAAAUACGUG